rnacentral:tRNA from 4 species
GCGGGUGUAGUUUAAUGGUAAAACCUCAGCCUUCCAAGCUGAUGACGUGGGUUCGAUUCCCAUCACCCGCUCCA